rnacentral:rRNA from 1 species
GACGAAUGCUGGCGGCGCGCUUAACACAUGCAAGUCGAACGGAAAGGCCUGCUUUCCCUUGUGGAUUGCGGGUACUCGAGUGGCGAACGGGUGAGUAACACGUGAGUGAUCUGCCCCCAACUUGGGUAUAAGCCUGGGAAACUGGGUCUAAUUCCCGAUAGGACUGCAGGGUGGUGCCUGUGGUGGAAAACGAUUUUCUAGUGGUUGGGGAUGAGCUCGCGGCCUAUCAGCUUGUUGGUGGGGUAAUGGCCUACCAAGGCGGCGACGGGUAGCCGGCCUGAGAGGGUGGACGGCCACAUUGGGACUGAGAUACGGCCCAGACUCCUACGGGAGGCAGCAGUGGGGAAUAGUGCACAAUGGGCGGAAGCCUGAUGCAGCGACGCCGCGUGGGGGAUGACGGCCUUCGGGUUGUAAACUCCUUUCGACCGCGAGGAAGCCACCUGGUUGGAAGGGUGGUGACGGUAGUGGUAGAAGAAGCACCGGCUAACUACGUG